UACGUAGGGGGCAAGCGUUGUCCGGAUUCAUUGGGCGCAAAGAGCGUGUAGGCGGCCAGGUAGGUCGGUUGUGAAAACUGGAGGCUCAACCUUCAGACGUCGACCGAAACCAUCUGGCUAGAGUCCGGGAGAGGAGAGUGGAAUUCCUGGUGUAGCGGUGAAAUGCGCAGAUAUCAGGAAGAACACCCGUGGCGAAAGCGGCUCUCUGGAACGGUACUGACGCUGAGACGCGAAAGCGUGGGGAGCGAACAGG
rnacentral:rRNA from 1 species